rnacentral:rRNA from 1 species
AUUGAACGCUGGCGGCAGGCCUAACACAUGCAAGUCGAACGAGUGGCGGACGGGCGAGUGAUGUCUUGGAAACUGCCUGAUGGAGGGGGAUAACUACUGGAAACGGUAGCUAAUACCGCAUACCAUCGGAUGUGCCGAGAUGGGAUUAGCUAGUAGGUGGGGUAAAGGGUCACCUAGGCGACGAUCCCUAGCUGGCCUGAGAGGAUGACCGGCCACACUGGAACUGAGACACGGUCCAGACUCCUACGGGAGGCAGCAGUGGGGAAUAUUGCGCAAUGGGCGCAAGCCUGAUGCAGCCAUGCCGCGUGUAUGAAGAAGGCCUUCGGGUUGUAAAGUACUUUCAGCGGGGAGGCGUUACCCGCAGAAGAAGCACCGGCUAACUCCGUGCCAGCAGCCGCGGUAAUUC